rnacentral:rRNA from 1 species
UACACUCCUGCGGGAGGCAGCAGUGGGGAAUAUUGGACAAUGGGCGCAAGCCUGAUCCAGCCAUGCCGCGUGAGUGAUGAAGGCCCUAGGGUUGUAAAGCUCUUUCACCGGUGAAGAUAAUGACGGUAACCGGAGAAGAAGCCCCGGCUAACUUCGUGCCAGCAGCCGCGGUAAUACGAAGGGGGCUAGCGUUGUUCGGAUUUACUGGGCGUAAAGCGCACGUAGGCGGACUAUCAAGUCAGGGGUGAAAUCCCGGGGCUCAACCCCGGAACUGCCUUUGAUACUGGUAGUCUUGAGUUCGAGAGAGGUGAGUGGAAUUCCGAGUGUAGAGGUGAAAUUCGUAGAUAUUCGGAGGAACACCAGUGGCGAAGGCGGCUCACUGGCUCGAUACUGACGCUGAGGUGCGAAAGCGUGGGGAGCAAACAGGAUUAGAAACCCUAGUAGUCCCAUGAU